GCUGGAGCAGGCCCUCACAGCAGAGGAGCCGAGCCCAAGGUGCCAGGGCUGGGAGGGGUCCCGCCAUCCCCGGGGGGGUCAGCACAGAAUGGCCUGCACCCAUAGCCCUGCCCAGCAUGGUGGCCCAGAGAGGGGGCUUCCUGGAGCAGCUGAGGGAGCCAGAACUUCUACUGGGACUUGGGAGCCAGAGGCACCCUGAGGUGAGGGACAGCAAGAGAAGGGCCCCAGGUGAGUCGGAGGGCUCUAAAGUAAGGAGAAGGCAGAGGGAAAUGGGAUGAGAGACCCAGGGACACCCCAGUCCUGGAAGGCAAGGGCGGCACCAGGCACCCCCCAGGCCCUGAUGUAAGACUAACAGUCACAGAAGGAGAUGACUCUAUUCACACUGCCACAGCCGGCUGGCAGCCACUCCUGUGCCCCACUCCCAGCUCUCACCUGGGGACUUUGUUUACUGCCCCACCAGGCAGCCAGCUCUUUGCCCAGGGCACGCCAGGCAAUGCAGGCUGGUCAGAGGGAGCCCAGCUGCUGGCCCAGCUGGUGAGGAAUGCUGGCCCCGAGCAGCAUGGGCUGCCACUGUCCCCUUGAGCCUGUGUGUGCUGACCAACCUAGCCACCCACCCCAGCAGCUGCACGGGGCCUCCUGACUCCCAGCCAACUUGCCUGGGGUCCUGGGCUAUCACAUGGUUGUUGGGGUCCCAGCUGGGACAUGCCCACUUCACAGCAGCUGGAGGAAGGGCCCUGCAAAGCCACUCACUGCUGGGUGGCCCAGAGGCCAUGACCUCCCCUCCUGGCACAGCCCUCACCAACUCAAGCUCUGCCGUAAGGCACUGACGGUACCCCACUCCAGGCCUUCUGCAGUCCCCAAGCUCAGGCAUGAGCCAUGUGCUCUGCCUGGGGCACCCUCCCUGCUCAGAAACGAGAUGGCCUGCUCUGCAGCCCUGGGCCCAAGCUGGUGAGUAGCCGAUGCCGGCAGGGGCAGCAGGUUUGCAGAAAGGCUAAGGUCAGGCUGGGAGCCAUGGCUCUGCGCUCAGGACCACUGUCCCCUGAGGGGAGGGGAACGGAGGCACAGCUGCCAACCCCACCCCCUGCCCCUGGUCAGUGUGCAUUUCCACAGCAAGCUUACCUGACAGCCCCGGAGACCUUGCCCUCCUGCCUCAGUUCCCAGGAACCCCACUGCUGGACCCCUGUUCCAUGUGGCCAGGCUCAGUGGCCAGGCUAAGUCUGUAGAAGAGCCACAGGUAACUGCUGAGCCACGCCACAGACCCUGGGACCUAGAUGUGUCCUGGCGCCCACUUGCACAGGCAGACCUAGCUCAAAGCCACCGGGACCCACAGCCCAGUUUAGCGUCACCAUGGGAACUGGCAUUGGCAGGGGGCAGGCAGGGAGGGGGUGGGCAGCUCCUGGUGAAUCAGCUGACAUGGACGCCACGGCAGGAGCAGAGCAUUCCCAGGGGAUGUGUCAGAGCUGUCGGUGCUGCUGCACCAGGAGCAAGGCUGGGCGGGGAGGAAGUCACCACAGCGGUCCUGUCUCCAGGUGCCCUGUAGGAGGCCUCAUUCUUCCUUGCGCACAGAGGGUCCAGCUCUCAGAAAGCAAGGAGAGGUCAGGGGGUCCAGCAGGCAAGGAGAGGCUAGCCUUGCUCUGACUCCACUAGAGCAGGGGAGGACCAGGGCUUGAGCUGCAGACACAGAGGCCUUGACUCAGCUGACACUUGGCUGCCGGUGCCUACAGACAGGCCCAGCACUGACCGCUGCCUCCCUGUGCUAAAAGGAAGGGAGGCCCAGGCCUCGGGAGGCCCCUCAUUUGCCUUGUCCGCUGUGUGUCCCUGGCACCCUGACUGCCUUUCUGUCCUGCUGUCCUUCCAGAACCCCAUGUUCAGUGAUGCAUCCCUUCCCAAACUCCUGUCCAGUAGCGGUCAACUCCAGCUCCACCAUCCACCUCAACCACGGAGCAAGGCCUCAGGCAAGAAGGAAUCCAGCCAGAAGCUCUCUAUUUACCACCCGACUUCAGAAGCACACCCAUGGGGGACAGGAGCCUG
rnacentral:lncRNA from 1 species